rnacentral:rRNA from 1 species
AUGAACGCUGGCGGCGUGCCUAAUACAUGCAAGUCGAGCGAACGGACGAGAAGCUUGCUUCUCUGAUGUUAGCGGCGGACGGGUGAGUAACACGUGGAUAACCUACCUAUAAGACUGGGAUAACUCCGGGAAACCGGAGCUAAUACCGGAUGAUAUUUUGAACCGCAUGGUUCAAAAGUGAAAGACGGUCUUGCUGUCACUUAUAGAUGGAUCCGCGCUGCAUUAGCUAGUUGGUAAGGUAACGGCUUACCAAGGCAACGAUGCAUAGCCGACCUGAGAGGGUGAUCGGCCACACUGGAACUGAGACACGGUCCAGACUCCUACGGGAGGCAGCAGUAGGGAAUCUUCCGCAAAGGGCGAAAGCCUGACGGAGCAACGCCGCGUGAGUGAUGAAGGUCUUCGGAUCGUAAAACUCUGUUAGUAGGGAAGAACAUAUGUGUAAGUAACUGUGCACAUCUUGACGGUACCUAAUCAGAAAGCCACGGCUAACUACGUG